rnacentral:rRNA from 1 species
GAUGAACGCUGGCGGCGUGCCUAAUACAUGCAAGUCGAGCGAACAGACGAGGAGCUUGCUCCUCUGACGUUAGCGGCGGACGGGUGAGUAACACGUGGAUAACCUACCUAUAAGACUGGGAUAACUUCGGGAAACCGGAGCUAAUACCGGAUAAUAUAUUGAACCGCAUGGUUCAAUAGUGAAAGACGGUUUUGCUGUCACUUAUAGAUGGAUCCGCGCCGCAUUAUCUAGUUGGUAAGGUAACGGCUUACCAAGGCAACGAUGCGUACCCGACCUGAGAGGAGGAUCGGCCAACGGGGAGAGAGGACCCGGGCCAACAUCCUACGGGAGGCAGGGGGGGGGAUUCUUCGGCAGGGGGCAAAAGCGGAACGGGCAAACGCGGGGGGGGGGAGAAAGGUCUUCGGAGUGUAAAACUUUGUUAUAAGGGAAAAAAAAAUGUGUAAGUAACUAUGCCCUUUUGGCGGGACCCAAAACAAAAGACCCGGGUAAACUCGUG